AACGAACGCUGGCGGCAUGCCUAACACAUGCAAGUCGAACGAAGUGGCGCACGGGUGCGUAACGCGUGGGAAUCUGCCCUUAGGUUCGGAAUAACAGCUGGAAACGGCUGCUAAUACCGGAUGCCGGAGGAUGAGCCCGCGUUGGAUUAGGUAGUUGGUGUGGUAAAGGCCUACCAAGCCGACGAACCGUAGCUGGUCUGGGAGGAUGAUCAGCCACACUGGGACUGAGCCACGGUCCAGACGCCUACGUGAGGCAGCAGUUGGGAAUAUUGGACAAUGGUCGAAAGCCUGAUCCAGCAAUGCCGCGUGAGGGAUGAAGGCCCUAGGGUUGUAAAGCUCUUUUACCCGGGAAGCGGUACCGGGAGAAUAAUCCCCGGCUAACUUCGUGCCAGCAGCAGCGGUAAUAC
rnacentral:rRNA from 1 species